GAUGAAUGCUGGCGGCGUGCCUAACACAUGCAAGUCGAGCGAUUCUCUUCGGAGAAGAGCGGCGGACGGGUGAGUAACGCGUGGGUAACCUGCCUUGUACACACGGAUAACAUACCGAAAGGUAUGCUAAUACGAGAUAAUAUGCUUUUAUCGCAUGGUAGAAGUAUCAAAGCUUUUGCGGUACAGGAUGGACCCGCGUCUGAUUAGCUAGUUGGUAAGGUAACGGCUUACCAAGGCGACGAUCAGUAGCCGACCUGAGAGGGUGAUCGGCCACAUUGGAACUGAGACACGGUCCAAACUCCUACGGGAGGCAGCAGUGGGGAAUAUUGCACAAUGGGCGAAAGCCUGAUGCAGCAACGCCGCGUGAGCGAUGAAGGCCUUCGGGUCGUAAAGCUCUGUCCUCAAGGAAGAUAAUGACGGUACUUGAGGAGGAAGCCCCGGCUAACUACGUGCCAGCAGCCGCAGUAA
rnacentral:rRNA from 1 species